UAAUACGAGAGGCCCAAACGUUAUUCGGAAUUACUGGGCUUAAAGAGUUCGUAGGCGGCGCGGAAAGUAGGGUGUGAAAGCCCUCGGCUCAACCGAGGAAUUGCGCCCUAAACUGCCGUGCUUGAGGAACCUAGAGGUGAGCAGAACAGAUGGUGGAGCGGUGAAAUGCGUUGAUAUCAUCUGGAAUACCGGAGGCGAAGGCGGCUCACUGGGGGUUUUCUGACGCUGAGGAACGAAAGCCAGGGUAGCGAACGGGAUUAGAUACCCCGGUAGUCCUGGCCGUAAACGAUGAGCACUAGGCCGGAGGGCUGCACAGCUUUCCGGCCGUAGCUAAAGUGUUAAGUGCUCCGCCUGGGGAGUAUGGUCGCAAGGCUG
rnacentral:rRNA from 1 species